rnacentral:rRNA from 1 species
UGUUAUUACCGCACAAAUUGCGCGAAAGCGGGGGCCGUUGGGUUUUUUUCCUGGGUCAGGAAGAACGCCGGCGGCGUGCCUAAUACAUGCAAGUAGAGCGGAGAUUUGAAAAGCUUGCUUUUCAAAUCUUAGCGGCGGACGGGUGAGUAACACGUGGGCAACCUGCCCCUGAGACGGGGAUAACUCCGGGAAACCGGAGCUAAUACCGGAUAACACAUAUCUUCGCAUGAGGAUAUGUUAGAAGGUGGCUUUUAGCUACCACUCAAGGAUGGGCCCGCGGCGCAUUAGCUAGUUGGUGAGGUAACGGCUCACCAAGGCGACGAUGCGUAGCCGACCUGAGAGGGUGAUCGGCCACACUGGGACUGAGACACGGCCCAGACUCCUACGGGAGGCAGCAGUAGGGAAUCUUCCGCAAUGGACGAAAGUCUGACGGAGCAACGCCGCGUGAGUGAUGAAGGUUUUCGGAUCGUAAAGCUCUGUUGUUAGGGAAGAACAAGUACCUGUUAAAUAAGCAGGUACCUUGACGGUACCUAACCAGAAAGCCACGGCUAACUACGUGCCAGCAGCCGCGGUAAUACGUAGGUGGCAAGCGUUGUCCGGAAUUAUUGGGCGUAAAGCGCGCGCAGGCGGUUCCUUAAGUCUGAUGUGAAAGCCCACGGCUCAACCGUGGAGGGUCAUUGGAAACUGGGGAACUUGAGUGCAGAAGAGGAGAGCGGAAUUCCACGUGUAGCGGUGAAAUGCGUAGAGAUGUGGAGGAACACCAGUGGCGAAGGCGGCUCUCUGGUCUGUAACUGACGCUGAGGCGCGAAAGCGUGGGGAGCGAACAGGAUUAGAUACCCUGGUAGUCCACGCCGUAAACGAUGAGUGCUAAGUGUUAGAGGGUUUCCGCCCUUUAGUGCUGCAGCAAACGCAUUAAGCAUUAA